AUUGAACGCUGGCGGCAUGCUUUACACAUGCAAGUCGAACGGUAACAGGCCUUCGGGCGCUGACGAGUGGCGAACGGGUGAGUAAUGCAUCGGAACGUGCCCAGGCGUGGGGGAAAACGCACCGAAAGCUGUGCUAAUACGCCAUCCGACCUGCGGAUGCAAGCGGGGGACCUUCGGGCCUCGGCCGAUUGGAGCGGCCGAUGUCAGAUUAGGUAGUUGGUGGGGUAAAGGCUCACCAAGCCAACGAUCUGUAGCUGGUCUGAGAGGACGACCAGCCACACUGGGACUGAGACACGGCCCAGACUCCUACGGGAGGCAGCAGUGGGGAAUUUUGGACAAUGGGCGCAAGCCUGAUCCAGCAAUGCCGCGUGCAGGAAGAAGGCCUUCGGGUUGUAAACUGCUUUUGUACGGAGCGAAAAGGCUCCCUCUAAUACAGGGGGCUCAUGACGGUACCGUAAGAAUAAGCACCGGCUAACUACGUGCCAGCAGCCGCCGUAACAC
rnacentral:rRNA from 1 species